rnacentral:rRNA from 1 species
ACUAAGCGUACACGGUGGAUGCCCUGGCAGUCAGAGGCGAUGAAGGACGUGCUAAUCUGCGAUAAGCGUCGGUAAGGUGAUAUGAACCGUUAUAACCGGCGAUUUCCGAAUGGGGAAACCCAGUGUGUUUCGACACACUAUCAUUAACUGAAUCCAUAGGUUAAUGAGGCGAACCGGGGGAACUGAAACAUCUAAGUACCCCGAGGAAAAGAAAUCAACCGAGAUUCCCCCAGUAGCGGCGAGCGAACGGGGAGCAGCCCAGAGCCUGAAUCAGUGUGUGUGUUAGUGGAAGCGUCUGGAAAGGCGCGCGAUACAGGGUGACAGCCCCGUACACAAAAAUGCACAUGCUGUGAGCUCGAUGAGUAGGGCGGGACACGUGGUAUCCUGUCUGAAUAUGGGGGGACCAUCCUCCAAGGCUAAAUACUCCUGACUGACCGAUAGUGAACCAGUACCGUGAGGGAAAGGCGAAAAGAACCCCGGCGAGGGGAGUGAAAAAGAACCUGAAACCGUGUACGUACAAGCAGUGGGAGCACGCUUAGGCGUGUGACUGCGUACCUUUUGUAUAAUGGGUCAGCGACUUAUAUUCUGUAGCAAGGUUAACCGAAUAGGGGAGCCGAAGGGAAACCGAGUCUUAACUGGGCGUUAAGUUGCAGGGUAUAGACCCGAAACCCGGUGAUCUAGCCAUGGGCAGGUUGAAGGUUGGGUAACACUAACUGGAGGACCGAACCGACUAAUGUUGAAAAAUUAGCGGAUGACUUGUGGCUGGGGGUGAAAGGCCAAUCAAACCGGGAGAUAGCUGGUUCUCCCCGAAAGCUAUUUAGGUAGCGCCUCGUGAAUUCAUCUCCGGGGGUAGAGCACUGUUUCGGCAAGGGGGUCAUCCCGACUUACCAACCCGAUGCAAACUGCGAAUACCGGAGAAUGUUAUCACGGGAGACACACGGCGGGUGCUAACGUCCGUCGUGAAGAGGGAAACAACCCAGACCGCCAGCUAAGGUCCCAAAGUCAUGGUUAAGUGGGAAACGAUGUGGGAAGGCCCAGACAGCCAGGAUGUUGGCUUAGAAGCAGCCAUCAUUUAAAGAAAGCGUAAUAGCUCACUGGUCGAGUCGGCCUGCGCGGAAGAUGUAACGGGGCUAAACCAUGCACCGAAGCUGCGGCAGCGACACUAUGUGUUGUUGGGUAGGGGAGCGUUCUGUAAGCCUGUGAAGGUGUACUGUGAGGUAUGCUGGAGGUAUCAGAAGUGCGAAUGCUGACAUAAGUAACGAUAAAGCGGGUGAAAAGCCCGCUCGCCGGAAGACCAAGGGUUCCUGUCCAACGUUAAUCGGGGCAGGGUGAGUCGACCCCUAAGGCGAGGCCGAAAGGCGUAGUCGAUGGGAAACAGGUUAAUAUUCCUGUACUUGGUGUUACUGCGAAGGGGGGACGGAGAAGGCUAUGUUGGCCGGGCGACGGUUGUCCCGGUUUAAGCGUGUAGGCUGGUUUUCCAGGCAAAUCCGGAAAAUCAAGGCUGAGGCGUGAUGACGAGGCACUACGGUGCUGAAGCAACAAAUGCCCUGCUUCCAGGAAAAGCCUCUAAGCAUCAGGUAACAUCAAAUCGUACCCCAAACCGACACAGGUGGUCAGGUAGAGAAUACCAAGGCGCUUGAGAGAACUCGGGUGAAGGAACUAGGCAAAAUGGUGCCGUAACUUCGGGAGAAGGCACGCUGAUAUGUAGGUGAAGUCCCUUGCGGAUGGAGCUGAAAUCAGUCGAAGAUACCAGCUGGCUGCAACUGUUUAUUAAAAACACAGCACUGUGCAAACACGAAAGUGGACGUAUACGGUGUGACGCCUGCCCGGUGCCGGAAGGUUAAUUGAUGGGGUUAGCCGCAAGGCGAAGCUCUUGAUCGAAGCCCCGGUAAACGGCGGCCGUAACUAUAACGGUCCUAAGGUAGCGAAAUUCCUUGUCGGGUAAGUUCCGACCUGCACGAAUGGCGUAAUGAUGGCCAGGCUGUCUCCACCCGAGACUCAGUGAAAUUGAACUCGCUGUGAAGAUGCAGUGUACCCGCGGCAAGACGGAAAGACCCCGUGAACCUUUACUAUAGCUUGACACUGAACAUUGAGCCUUGAUGUGUAGGAUAGGUGGGAGGCUUUGAAGUGUGGACGCCAGUCUGCAUGGAGCCGACCUUGAAAUACCACCCUUUAAUGUUUGAUGUUCUAACGUUGACCCGUAAUCCGGGUUGCGGACAGUGUCUGGUGGGUAGUUUGACUGGGGCGGUCUCCUCCUAAAGAGUAACGGAGGAGCACGAAGGUUGGCUAAUCCUGGUCGGACAUCAGGAGGUUAGUGCAAUGGCAUAAGCCAGCUUGACUGCGAGCGUGACGGCGCGAGCAGGUGCGAAAGCAGGUCAUAGUGAUCCGGUGGUUCUGAAUGGAAGGGCCAUCGCUCAACGGAUAAAAGGUACUCCGGGGAUAACAGGCUGAUACCGCCCAAGAGUUCAUAUCGACGGCGGUGUUUGGCACCUCGAUGUCGGCUCAUCACAUCCUGGGGCUGAAGUAGGUCCCAAGGGUAUGGCUGUUCGCCAUUUAAAGUGGUACGCGAGCUGGGUUUAGAACGUCGUGAGACAGUUCGGUCCCUAUCUGCCGUGGGCGCUGGAGAACUGAGGGGGGCUGCUCCUAGUACGAGAGGACCGGAGUGGACGCAUCACUGGUGUUCGGGUUGUCAUGCCAAUGGCACUGCCCGGUAGCUAAAUGCGGAAGAGAUAAGUGCUGAAAGCAUCUAAGCACGAAACUUGCCCCGAGAUGAGUUCUCCCUGACUCCUUGAGAGUCCUGAAGGAACGUUGAAGACGACGACGUUGAUAGGCCGGGUGUGUAAGCGCAGCGAUGCGUUGAGCUAACCGGUACUAAUGAACCGUGAGGCUUAACC